CCGAACCGAGUGCACCUGCUGCAGCCUGGCACUAGGGAUUUGAAAAUCCAUGGAGAUGGAAACCUAUGCCGAGGUUAGAAGACCUGGAUCCACUUUGCAGGAUUUUAAAUAUCCUUCAAGCCUCAGUGCCUGGCAGACUGGACUUUGGACUUCGGACUUCCAGCUCCGAUGCUGAAAAAGGAGGGUUUUUUUUUUUUGCUUUUGUUUGUUUGUUUGUUUGUUUGUUUUCCACUUUGCUUCCUUGCUUGUCGAGGCUGAGAACAUACGGUGUUUUUGAGGGCCAUCAUCUAAGGGUACUCGCUUCUCCAAACCUUGGAACCCGAGGUCUAGCCUUGGAAAGAGUUGCCGCCUUACCGUCUCUCCUCGCCUAGAGAAGCCCCAGCUGUGUGCGCUACUGCAGGGUCACAGUGCCGUGGUGCCGAGCUUCUUUCGUGGUCCCUGUCGCCGUCAGUUUCUUGAGAUUUCAGACUCUGGGCUUGGAAACCAGUUGACUGCCUUUCUUAGCGAGGUGCCCUCGGAAACCUGUGGAGGAAUGUUUGGAUUAUGAAUGCUCACCGUGCCGAGGUAAAGCAUAGGUUUUUGGCGCCUUCGGGCCCUGUGGUCAGCGGUGGGACGGAUCGGACGUUGCAGAAGCACUUUUCUGCGGUGUUUAGAAGGUGCUACCCACCUUCAGCUAACUGUAGAUGGAAUGACCCUCAGCUGGACUUUGGGAACUCACUUGAACUAGUUAGAAACUUCGAAGUACCUAACAGGAAGCGGCGAGGGUGGGGUGGGAGUGGGAUCAGAAUUUAGCCUGGUCCACUGGGACACUUGGAUACCCCACUGUAAAUGAUCCUGACCUCAGCGCCAAGAAUACAGGCAGCACCCGGUGAGACCGGUUCAUUCUCUCUCUCUCUCUCUCUCUCUCUCUCUCUCUCUCUCUGCUACAUACGCAGCUCUGCCCUUUACUUCAUUUUCUCUAGGUUUUGAGACUACUGUAAGACAGAUGAGAAAACCUGAGGUUUGUGUUGCUUUCUCUCCUUGCUUUGACCAAACUCUGCUGAACAAGAAUUCUCUACCAAA
rnacentral:lncRNA from 1 species